rnacentral:rRNA from 1 species
AACGGUUUCCGUCCUUCGGAGGCACCUGCACAGGUGCUGCAUGGCUGUCGUCAGCUCGUGUCGUGAGAUGUUGGGUUAAGUCCCGCAACGAGCGCAACCCUUAUCCCCAGUUGCCAUCAGGUAAAGCUGGGAACUCUGGGGAGACUGCCGGUGAUAAACCGGAGGAAGGCGGGGAUGACGUCAAGUCCUCAUGGCCCUUACAUCCCGGGCUACACACGUGCUACAAUGGCAGGUACAGAGGGCUGCAAAGCCGCGAGGUAGAGCGAAUCCCAGAAAACCUGUCUCAGUCCGGAUUGAAGUCUGCAACUCGACUUCAUGAAGGCGGAAUCGCUAGUAACCGCGAAUCAGCAGGUCCGCGGUCGAAUACGUUCCCGGGCCUU